rnacentral:RNase_P_RNA from 1 species
GGAGUCGAAGAGGUGGUCGUCGGCGCAGCCGAUUCGUCGGAGGCGCGGGAGGAAAGUCCGGGCUUCACAGGGCAGGAUGCCGGCUAACGGCCGGUCGAGGUGACUCGCAGGAAAGUGCCACAGAAAACAUACCGCCCGUCGCUGUCUUGCUCGCAAGGCGGCGAAAGGUAAGGGUGAAAAGGUGCGGUAAGAGCGCACCGGGAAGCUGGUAACAGCCUCCGCAUGGAAAACCCCAUCCGAAGCAAGACCAAGUCGAGAGUCAGGGCGGCCCGCUCGCCCGUCGGCGAUACGCUCGAAAGAGCCGUCGCAGGCGGGGCUCUCAGGUAGGUUGCUUGAGCCGCCGAGUAAUUGGCGGCCUAGAUGAAUGACCGCCACCUCUGCCCAGCGCCUCGUCGAUGUCAUCAUCGGCGAAGGCGGGACGGCAGCGGAACAGAACCCGGCUUACCGACGACUCCGACG